rnacentral:rRNA from 1 species
AUUGAACGCUGGUGGCAGGCUUAACACAUGCAAGUCGAGCGGGGGAAGGUAGCUUGCUACCGGACCUAGCGGCGGACGGGUGAGUAAUGCUUAGGAAUCUGCCUAUUAGUGGGGGACGACAUCUCGAAAGGGAUGCUAAUACCGCAUACGUCCUACGGGAGAAAGCAGGGGAUCUUCGGACCUUGCGCUAAUAGAUGAGCCUAAGUCGGAUUAGCUAGUUGGUGGGGUAAAGGCCUACCAAGGCGACGAUCUGUAGCGGGUCUGAGAGGAUGAUCCGCCACACUGGGACUGAGACACGGCCCAGACUCCUACGGGAGGCAGCAGUGGGGAAUAUUGGACAAUGGGGGGAACCCUGAUCCAGCCAUGCCGCGUGUGUGAAGAAGGCCUUAUGGUUGUAAAGCACUUUAGGCGAGGAGGAGGCUACUUUAGUUAAUACCUAGAGAUAGUGGACGUUACUCGCAGAAUAAGCACCGGCUAACUCUGUGCCAGCCGCCGCGGUAA